AACGGCCAUGCCAUGUUGAAUAUACCGGUUCUCGUUAGAUCACCGAAGUCAAGCAUCAUUGAGCGCGGUGUCGGUACUUGGGCGGGUGACCACCUGGGAACACUGCGUGCCGUU